rnacentral:rRNA from 1 species
GUCGUCGCUCGAUUAGCUAGUUGGUGGGGUAAUGGCCUACCAAGGCAACGAUCAGUAGCCGGCCUGAGAGGGUGAACGGCCACAUUGGGACUGAGACACGGCCCAAACUCCUACGGGAGGCAGCAG